rnacentral:rRNA from 1 species
UACGAAGGGGGCUAGCGUUGUUCGGAAUCACUGGGCGUAAAGCGCGCGUAGGCGGCUAUACAAGUCAGGGGUGAAAUCCCAGAGCUUAACUCUGGAACUGCCUUUGAAACUGUAUAGCUAGAGUAUGGUAGGGGAUAGCGGAAUUGCUAGUGUAGAGGUGAAAUUCGUAGAUAUUAGCAGGAACACCAGUGGCGAAGGCGGCUAUCUGGACCAUAACUGACGCUGAGGUGCGAAAGCGUGGGGAUCAAACAGG